rnacentral:rRNA from 1 species
GACGAACGCUGGCGGCGUGCUUAACACAUGCCAGUCGAACGGAAAGGCCCUGCUUUUGUGGGGUGCUCGAGUGGCGAACGGGUGAGUAACACGUGAGUAACCUGCCCUUGACUUUGGGAUAACUUCAGGAAACUGGGGCUAAUACCGGAUAGGAGCUCCUGCUGCAUGGUGGGGGUUGGAAAGUUUCGGCGGUUGGGGAUGUACUCGCGGCUUAUCAGCUUGUUGGUGGGGUAGUGGCUUACCAAGGCUUUGACGGGUAGCCGGCCUGAGAGGGUGACCGGCCACAUUGGGACUGAGAGACGGCCCAGACUGCUACGGGAGGCAGCAGUGGGGAAUAUUGCACAAUGGGCGGAAGCCUGAUGCAGCAACGCCGCGUGCGGGAUGACGGCCUUCGGGUUGUAAACCGCUUUCGCCUGUGACGAAGCGUGAGUGACGGUAAUGGGUAAAGAAGCACCGGCUAACUACGUG